UGAAACAUUGAUUCUUAUAUGAUCACUGAAGUUAAGCAAUGUUGAGCCUGAUCAGUACCUAGAUGGGUGACCACUUGGAAAUACUAUGUGCUGUAAG